GCAGCCGCCGCGGUAAUACAGAGGGUGCGAGCGUUAAUCGGAUUUACUGGGCGUAAAGCGUGCGUAGGCGGCUUCUUAAGUCGGAUGUGAAAUCCCUGAGCUUAACUUAGGAAUUGCAUUCGAUACUGGGAAGCUAGAGUAUGGGAGAGGAUGGUAGAAUUCCAGGUGUAGCGGUGAAAUGCGUAGAGAUCUGGAGGAAUACCGAUGGCGAAGGCAGCCAUCUGGCCUAAUACUGACGCUGAGGUACGAAAGCAUGGGGAGCAAACAGGAUUAGAUACCCGCGUAGUCCCUGUCUCUUAUAA
rnacentral:rRNA from 1 species